UUCCCCACCUUUGCUUAAAAUUAACACACAUGAAAAUGUUCCCAAAUUAGACUGAACUGUCUACCUUUAGUUAAAGUAAUUACUUGAUGAGCCAGUUGUCUGUAACAUCCUGCAAGCAGCCAGGAGAGUUUCACCACAUAUCUGCACCCAAUCAAAAAUCCAGGGAAGCAAAGAAGCAGCAAAACCCUCCUCACCACUUUGCAAAAGACGUUUCCAUAUGAAAGAAGCCAGAUUUCAUUAGAAUGCUCUGUUUGGCUCAAAAGAACUGGUAAGCCUGAUGCAAACUGCACUGAAGGUCAUGUUCCCUAUACUUAAAACCAAGAAUCCCAGCUCUGGCUCUCAAUCAAUUUGAAAGUUGCUCAAGAUUCCUAAAAAUAUUGUUCUAGAGGUCAUACCUCAUCAUCCUGUAGAUCUUCUUCAAGCUGAAGAACAUUUUUCAAAGCAGCAGCAACGUAUUUCUUGCGCUUACAAAUGAAAUCCUUCUCCUCUGGACAUAGAUCAAAUCCCAAGCGCACAUCUAGGUCCUUCUGGCUAGAUGACACAGACUCACAUCAUAAAUCUGAGCAAAUAAAUACACCUACUAUAUGCA